GAUUUAGUAUAAGUAUGUCCCAUGAUAUAUUUGGGAUAUAGUUAUACUAAAA
rnacentral:pre_miRNA from 1 species